CGGCGCCGAAGGCCCGGCCAUCAGCGACGGGGAGGAGGGCGGCGGCGAGCCAGGCGCUGGCGGAGGAGCUGCCGGAGCCGCGGGCGCGGGGCGCCGGGACUUCGUGGAAGCCCCCCCGCCCAAGGUGAACCCGUGGACUAAGAACGCAUUGCCGCCGGUCCUGACCACCGUGAACGGACAGUCCCCCCCAGAUACCCUUUAGGGCUGGUUUGCCUUAGUUGAGGAAGAAGACCCUCCUAGGGACUCUGUCUGCCAUCCACCCUGCUACAGUCUGGGCCUCGGAGACCUGUGGACAGAUAAGCUGCUGGGCCCAGUCAUCAGUAACUGUUUACUCAGAAAAACAAGGGAAGUGCUCUAAGAUUACACUAAGAAGGCUUUUGACCCAUUCCUCGCCAGUAG
rnacentral:lncRNA from 1 species